GAUGAACGCUGGCGGCGUGCUUAACACAUGCAAGUCGAGCGAGAUUAUUCUUCGGAAUAGUCUAGCGGCGGACGGGUGAGUAACACGUGGGCAACCUGCCUUGUAGAGGGGGAUAGCCUUCCGAAAGGAAGAUUAAUACCGCAUAACGUUAUUGAAAGGCAUCUUUCGAUAAUCAAAGGAGCAAUCCGCUACAAGAUGGGCCCGCGGCGCAUUAGCUAGUUGGUGAGGUAACGGCUCACCAAGGCGACGAUGCGUAGCCGACCUGAGAGGGUGAACGGCCACAUUGGGACUGGGACACGGCCCAGACUCCUACGGGAGGCAGCAGUGGGGAAUAUUGCACAAUGGGGGAAACCCUGAUGCAGCAACGCCGCGUGAGUGAUGACGGCCUUCGGGUUGUAAAGCUCUGUCUUUGGGGACGAUAAUGACGGUACCCAAGGAGGAAGUCACGGCUAACUACGUGCCAGCCGCCGCCGUAAGAC
rnacentral:rRNA from 1 species